UCGAGAAUUUUUCUCAAUGGGGGCAACCCUGAAGGAGCGACGCCGCGUGGAGGAUGAAGGUCUUCGGAUUGUAAACUCCUGUCAUUAGGGAACAAGGCUCGCGGUUAACUGCCGUCGAGAUUGAUAGUACCUGAAGAGGAAGAGACGGCUAACUCUGUGCCAGCAGCCGCGGUAAUACAGAGGUCUCAAGCGUUGUUCGGAUUCAUUGGGCGUAAAGGGUGCGUAGGUGGCAAGGUAAGUCGGGUGUGAAAUCCCGGGGCUCAACCCUGGAACUGCACUCGAUACUGCCAUGCUCGAGUACUGGAGAGGAGACUGGAAUUUACGGUGUAGCAGUGAAAUGCGUAGAUAUCGUAAGGAAGACCAGUGGCGAAGGCGAGUCUCUGGACAGUUACUGACACUGAGGCACGAAGGCCAGGGGAGCAAACGG
rnacentral:rRNA from 1 species